rnacentral:rRNA from 1 species
GACGAACGCUGGCGGCGUGCUUAACACAUGCAAGUCGAGCGGUAAGGCCCUUUCGGGGGUACACGAGCGGCGAACGGGUGAGUAACACGUGGGUGACCUGCCCUCAGCUCUGGGAUAAGCCCGGGAAACUGGGUCUAAUACCGGAUAUGACUUCAUGACGCAUGUUGUGGAGUGGAAAGCCUUGUGCGGCUGAGGAGUGGGGCCCGCGGCCUAUCAGCUUGUUGGUGGGGUGANGGCCUACCAAGGCGACGACGGGUAGCCGGCCUGAGAGGGCGACCGGCCACACUGGGACUGAGAUACGGCCCA